rnacentral:lncRNA from 1 species
GUAAAGAUCAGACCAACUGAACAACUGAAGUGCUAUUUAGGAAAUGUAGUGCACCAACGGGUAUUCCUGCAUGCACACAUUUCUCUAUCUAGACGUACAUUCUCUCUCAUGAUCGAGCUAUACCAAAAGCAAACAAGCUGUAGGCUUGAGAGGCAUCACGAAUGUUACGGGGACAUGCUUAGUGGAUGGCAUUACAGAGACACCACCAAGAACGACCGACCUUUUGUGCCGAGGAUUUAAUCACAAACACCACAUAAGAACUUAGCAUAACACUACUCUUGCACCUCUAUUAGGCCCUCUUUGGAACACAAGAUUUUCAGAGAAAACAAUUCAAUUCCUCCAACUUACAUUGAAAAUCCU